GCCCUGUUAGCUCAGUUGGAAGAGCGAUAGCCUUCUAAGCUAUAGGUCUUGGGUUCGAGCCCCAAAUAGGGCG